UACGUAGGGUGCAAGCGUUGUCCGGAAUUAUUGGGCGUAAAGAGCUCGUAGGCGGUCUGUCGCGUCUGCUGUGAAAACCUGGGGCUUAACUCUGGGCUUGCGGUCGAUACGGGCAUCACUGGAGUUCGGCAGGGGAGACUGGAAUCCUGGUGUAGCGGUGAAAUGCGCAGAUAUCAGGAGGAACACCGGUGGCGAAGGCGGGUCUCUGGGCCGAUACUGACGUGAGGUGCGAAAGCGUGGGGAGCAAACAGGAUAGAAACCCCGU
rnacentral:rRNA from 1 species